GUAUCCAUGUCGGGUCUUGGCACUGGGAGAAUUCACAGGAGUUAUAUCACAAACCCGUGAAUUUCCUGAUGCCUUAGCUCGAUGUGGAACC
rnacentral:pre_miRNA from 1 species